rnacentral:rRNA from 1 species
CUACGGGAGGCAGCAGUGGGGAAUAUUGGACAAUGGGGGCAACCCUGACCCAGCCAUGCCGCGUGAGUGAAGAAGGCCCUAGGGUUGUAAAGCUCUUUCGCACGCGACGAUGAUGACGGUAGCGUGAGAAGAAGCCCCGGCUAACUUCGUGCCAGCAGCCGCGGUAAUACGAAGGGGGCAAGCGUUGUUCGGAUUUACUGGGCGUAAAGGGCGCGUAGGCGGAUGUUCAAGUCAGAGGUGAAAGCCCUGGGCUCAACCCGGGAACUGCCUUUGAAACUGGACAUCUUGAGUAUGGGAGAGGGUGGUGGAAUACCCAGUGUAGAGGUGAAAUUCGUAGAUAGUGGGUAGAACACCAGUGGCGAAGGCGGCCACCUGGCCCAUAACUGACGCUGAGGCGCGAAAGCGUGGGGAGCAAACAGGAUUAGAUACCCCUGUAGUCC